rnacentral:rRNA from 1 species
GACUCCCCGAAACGCUCAGGCGCUGUAGGAUGUGGCUGCGGCCGAUUAGGUAGACGGUGGGGUAACGGCCCACCGUGCCGAUAAUCGGUACGGGUUGUGAGAGCAAGAGCCCGGAGACGGAAUCUGAGACAAGAUUCCGGGCCCUACGGGGCGCAGCAGGCGCGAAACCUUUACACUGCACGCAAGUGCGAUAAGGGGACCCCAAGUGCGAGGGCAUAUAGUCCUCGCUUUUCUCGACCGUAAGGCGGUCGAGGAAUAAGAGCUGGGCAAGACCGGUGCCAGCCGCCGCGGUAAUACCGGCAGCUCAAGUGAUGACCGAUAUUAUUGGGCCUAAAGCGUCCGUAGCCGGCCACGAAGGUUCAUCGGGAAAUCCGCCAGCUCAACUGGCGGGCGUCCGGUGAAAACCACGUGGCUUGGGACCGGAAGGCUCGAGGGGUACGUCCGGGGUAGGAGUGAAAUCCCGUAAUCCUGGACGGACCACCGAUGGCGAAAGCACCUCGAGAAGACGGAUCCGACGGUGAGGGACGAAAGCUAGGGUCUCGAACCAGAUUAGAUACCCGGGUAGUCCUAGCUGUAAACGAUGCUCGCUAGGUGUGACACAGGCUACGAGCCUGUGUUGUGCCGUANGGAAGCCGAGAAGCGAGCCGCCUGGGAAGUACG